rnacentral:rRNA from 1 species
ACACCCCAACAGCUAGCCCACCUUCAAACCUAAACAACCCCUAUUAUAUAAUACAUAAUCAACUAUCUACACCACAAUAAACCAUUCUUCCUCCUAAGUAUGU